rnacentral:rRNA from 1 species
AGAGUUUGAUCCUGGCUCAGGACGAACGCUGGCGGCGUGCCUAAUACAUGCAAGUCGAGCGGACAGAUGGGAGCUUGCUCCCUGAUGUUAGCGGCGGACGGGUGAGUAACACGUGGGUAACCUGCCUGUAAGACUGGGAUAACUCCGGGAAACCGGGGCUAAUACCGGAUGCUUGUUUGAACCGCAUGGUUCAAACAUAAAAGGUGGCUUCGGCUACCACUUGCAGAUGGACCCGCGGCGCAUUAGCUAGUUGGUGAGGUAAUGGCUCACCAAGGCGACGAUGCGUAGCCGACCUGAGAGGGUGAUCGGCCACACUGGGACUGAGACACGGCCCAGACUCCUACGGGAGGCAGCAGUAGGGAAUCUUCCGCAAUGGACGAAAGUCUGACGGAGCAACGCCGCGUGAGUGAUGAAGGUUUUCGGAUCGUAAAGCUCUGUUGUUAGGGAAGAACAAGUACCGUUCGAAUAGGGCGGUACCUUGACGGUACCUAACCAGAAAGCCACGGCUAACUACGUGCCAGCAGCCGCGGUAAUACGUAGGUGGCAAGCGUUGUCCGGAAUUAUUGGGCGUAAAGGGCUCGCAGGCGGUUUCUUAAGUCUGAUGUGAAAGCCCCCGGCUCAACCGGGGAGGGUCAUUGGAAACUGGGGAACUUGAGUGCAGAAGAGGAGAGUGGAAUUCCACGUGUAGCGGUGAAAUGCGUAGAGAUGUGGAGGAACACCAGUGGCGAAGGCGACUCUCUGGUCUGUAACUGACGCUGAGGAGCGAAAGCGUGGGGAGCGAACAGGAUUAGAUACCCUGGUAGUCCACGCCGUAAACGAUGAGUGCUAAGUGUUAGGGGGUUUCCGCCCCUUAGUGCUGCAGCUAACGCAUUAAGCACUCCGCCUGGGGAGUACGGUCGCAAGACUGAAACUCAAAGGAAUUGACGGGGGCCCGCACAAGCGGUGGAGCAUGUGGUUUAAUUCGAAGCAACGCGAAGAACCUUACCAGGUCUUGACAUCCUCUGACAAUCCUAGAGAUAGGACGUCCCCUUCGGGGGCAGAGUGACAGGUGGUGCAUGGUUGUCGUCAGCUCGUGUCGUGAGAUGUUGGGUUAAGUCCCGCAACGAGCGCAACCCUUGAUCUUAGUUGCCAGCAUUCAGUUGGGCACUCUAAGGUGACUGCCGGUGACAAACCGGAGGAAGGUGGGGAUGACGUCAAAUCAUCAUGCCCCUUAUGACCUGGGCUACACACGUGCUACAAUGGACAGAACAAAGGGCAGCGAAACCGCGAGGUUAAGCCAAUCCCACAAAUCUGUUCUCAGUUCGGAUCGCAGUCUGCAACUCGACUGCGUGAAGCUGGAAUCGCUAGUAAUCGCGGAUCAGCAUGCCGCGGUGAAUACGUCCCGGGCCUUGUACACACCGCCCGUCACACCACGAGAGUUUGUAACACCCGAAGUCGGUGAGGUAACCUUUUAGGAGCCAGCCGCCGAAGGUGGGACAGAUGAUUGGGGUGAAGUCGUAACAAGGUAGCCGUAUCGGAAGGUGCGGCUGGAUCACCU